AUUGAACGCUGGCGGCAGGCCUAACACAUGCAAGUCGGACGGUAGCACAGAGAGCUUGCUCUCGGGUGACGAGUGGCGGACGGGUGAGUAAUGUCUGGGGAUCUGCCCGAUAGAGGGGGAUAACCACUGGAAACGGUAGCUAAUACCGCAUAACGUCGCAAGACCAAAGAGGGGGACCUUCGGGCCUCUCACUAUCGGAUGAACCCGGAUGGGAUUAGCUAGUAGGCGGGGUAACGGCCCACCUAGGCAACGCUCCCUAGCUCGUCUGAGAGGAUGAGCAGCCACACUGGACAUGAGACACGGUCCAGACUCCUACGGGAGGCAGCAGUGGGGAAUAUUGCACAAUGGGCGCAAGCCUGAUGCAGCCAUGCCGCGUGUAUGAAGAAGGCCUUCGGGUUGUAAAGUACUUUCAGCGGGGAGGAAGGCGAUGUGGUUAAUAACCGCGUCGAUUGACGUUACCCGCAGAAGAAGCACCGGCUAACUCCGUGCCAGCAGCCGCAGUAA
rnacentral:rRNA from 1 species